rnacentral:rRNA from 1 species
GUCUCAGUUCGGAUUGUAGUCUGCAACUCGACUACAUGAAGCUGGAAUCGCUAGUAAUCGCGGAUCAGAAUGCCGCGGUGAAUACGUUCCCGGGUCUUGUACACACCGCCCGUCACACCAUGGGAGUCAGUAACGCCCGAAGUCAGUGACCCAACCGUAAAGGAGGGAGCUGCCGAAGGCGGGACGGAUAACUGGGGUGAAGUCGUAACAAGGUAGC